GAUGCGGGUCAGGAACUCUAGUCUAGAGAGCACAUUCUCUGCUCAGUUGCCCGGGGAAGCCACUAGCUACAGAUGCUGGAGAAUUUGGGCUGGUUUCUUCUGCAUUUUAACAAUCCCUGGGGCUUUCUUUGGUUCUUUCUUUAUUUGAGUGAGGUUGAGAUCAUCUUUCUAUCAUGUCUCUGCAUUCAGUGAUAUCCAUAUUUAUCCAUGUUUGAAAAGACACAGACAUCAAUCUGGGUCUUACUCUGUCACGCAGGAUGGAGGCUGGAGUCCAAUGGCACAAUUGCAGCUCACUGCACCCUCAAACUCCUGGGCUCAAGGGGGCCUCCCAUCUUACCCUCCCGGAUAGCUGGGACUACAGGCGUGCACCAUCAUACCUGGCUAAUUUUUAGUAUUUUUUGUAGAGACGGGGUUUCUCCAUGUUGGCAAGGCUGGUCUUGAAAUCCUAGGUUCAAGCAAUUCUCC
rnacentral:lncRNA from 1 species